rnacentral:snoRNA from 1 species
UAUUAAGCAUGAACCAUAUCCCGAACCUGAUUCCUGUAAGAUUGACAACCCUGUCGGAUCUGACUUCUGAAAU